rnacentral:tRNA from 1 species
GCUACCGUGGCUCAGUUGGCAGAGCAGGUGUUUCGUAAACUCCAGGUCGGGGGUUCGACUCCCUUCGGUAGCU